GUGGGAGGGGGCUUGCCCCCGAUGGCGGCGUGUCAGUCAACCCAUUUAUAACUGACCCACCGCUAUCGGGGGCAAGCCCCCUCCCAC
rnacentral:antisense_RNA from 2 species